rnacentral:rRNA from 1 species
CCUACGGGGGGCUGCAGUGGGGAAUAUUGGACAAUGGGCGAAAGCCUGAUCCAGCCAUGCCGCGUGUGUGAAGAAGGCCUUCGGGUUGUAAAGCACUUUCAGUGGGGAAGAAAGCCUUGGGGCUAAUACCCUCGAGGAAGGACAUCACCCACAGAAGAAGCACCGGCUAACUCCGUGCCAGCAGCCGCGGUAAUACGGAGGGUGCGAGCGUUAAUCGGAAUUACUGGGCGUAAAGCGCGCGUAGGCGGUCUGAUAAGCCGGUUGUGAAAGCCCCGGGCUCAACCUGGGAACGGCAUCCGGAACUGUCAGGCUAGAGUGCAGGAGAGGAAGGUAGAAUUCCCGGUGUAGAGGUGAAAUGCGUAGAGAUCGGGAGGAAUACCAGUGGCGAAGGCGGCCUUCUGGACUGACACUGACGCUGAGGUGCGAAAGCGUGGGUAGCAAACAGGAUUAGAUACCCCGGUAGUC